GCAGAGCAUCCUACGGGAGGCAGCAGUGGGGAAUAUUGCACAAUGGGCGCAAGCCUGAUGCAGCCAUGCCGCGUGUAUGAAGAAGGCCUUCGGGUUGUAAAGUACUUUCAGCAGUGAGGAAGGUGGGUAUGUUAAUAGCAUAUUCAUUUGACGUUAGCUGCAGAAGAAGCACCGGCUAACUCCGUGCCAGCAGCCGCGGUAAUACGGAGGGUGCGAGCGUUAAUCGGAAUUACUGGGCGUAAAAGCGCAUGCAGGUGGUUUGUUAAGUCAGAUGUGAAAGCCCGGGGCUCAACCUCGGAAUUGCAUUUGAAACUGGCAAACUAGAGUACUGUAGAGGGGGUAGAAUUUCAGGUGUAGCGGUGAAAUGCGUAGAGAUCUGAAGGAAUACCGGUGGCGAAGGCGGCCCCCUGGACAGAUACUGACACUCAGAUGCGAAAGCGUGGGGAGCAAACAGGAUUAGAUACCCUGGUAG
rnacentral:rRNA from 1 species